GGCCAGGUAGCUCAGGUGGUAGAGCAGUGUAACCUUAGAUUCACAGGUCGCGUGUUCAACUCAUGCCCUGGCCG
rnacentral:tRNA from 1 species